AAAAAUUAAAUAAAAUUAACUAAAUUCUAAAUUAAUUGGGAUUAUUUUUUAAAUAACCCAAAAUUCUGUUAAUUCACCGAGCCCCAUUAUUCCAUUAAAAUCUGUCCUGGCUCGUUCAUCCCGACACAGCAGCCCAAAAUCCCAGGCUCAAUCGCUUGCCUGACCCGCUCCAGCCCAACUACUUUUCCCCUUUCUUCUAGCCGAUUAACACAGCCAACAAUGACAAUACAACACCAGCAGCACAACAAACAACAUCAACAACCUUCAGCCAACACCCCACCAUAUCAGCAACAUUAGUAGCUAAUCAAUGAUAAAAAAAUCGGCGACACGAACCCACAUACCCAGCAACCUGCACCGUCCAGCUCAGCCAAACGAGGAAACAGCUUCAACCGCCUUGCCUCUUCUCCGUCUGUACGAAUCCACGAGCUACGCACGAGUUUGGAAGGGCAUCGAAGCUUCUAGGUUAUUUCACUGAAUUUUCAAUUUUCAUUUUUCAGAUUCUCCAAAUUCGUACAAAAGUAGUACGAUUCCAGUUCACUCAACAAACCUAAUAUUCAAUUUGAAACUACCUUCAAAAUCCUCAAAAGACCUUAGAAAAUCCUUAUCUCACAUCGUCGAUUCCUCAAGAAUUGAGAUUUUUGAGUUUCUGUAUAAACCCCUCUUUCACUGUUAAAAAGGAGUUUUUUGUUUAACCAAGCAAAAAAAGAUGGAAAUUCUCUUUACGCAGCUAGGAUUUUGAACCUCGGUCUCCAGCUUGGAGUUUUGAGAAUUUUGGCUGAGUCUUUUUAAAUUUUCUUAUUGUUUUGGAAUCAAAGAAUUUGGUGAAGUCGUCGUUGAAUCAUCGUUCCUGUUGGCUGCUCCUGAAAAGUGAAAUAUACCCGAGUCCAAAUGGACUCUAUCUCCUCUGCAUUUCCUUCAUGGCCCAGGGAGGCCCAAUCUGUCGAGUCCAAGACUCCAUUGAUAAAGUCCCAAAAUGGGACUGACCUGCGGCAAUAUACGAAGAAUAUACAGAUCUUACAGGUUGAAGGAAUCUGAUAUACAUCAUAUAUAGCAGGAAAUAAAGGAAAGAAGUGAAGUACCAGUUUUUAUACACUGAUAUACAGUGUGUGUACAAAAACGCAACAACAUCAAGAUUGAUAUACAACCAAUAUACAGCCGGUCUACACUGCAACAAUGGACCAAAGUUCAUUAAAAAUAAGGCCCAAAACCUGGGCAGAUUUGAAAUGGGCUAGAAAGGGGCCAAAUCUCAAAUUUUCUUCAUUUAUUACAUUGUAAUUGAUAUUUAAUUAUUUAUUUGUAAUUUAAUUUAACUUACCUAGAUGAAUCCUCGGAAAACAAGUUUAUGAUUAAACAAUUCACUUUAUUUUGGU